rnacentral:rRNA from 1 species
GAUCCUGGCUCAGGACGAACGCUGGCGGCGUGGAUUAAGCAUGCAAGUCGAGCGAUAUCUAACCUUCGGGUUAGUGAAAGCGGCGAACGGGUGAGUAACACGUGAACAACCUGCCCUCACAUUCCGGAUAAUAGACCGAAAGGUCUUGUAAUACGGGCGAGGAUUUUCUUUAGGCAUCUUUAGAAAAGGGAAGGCGCAAGCCGUGCGAGGAGGGGUUCGCGGAUUAUCAGAUAGUUGGUGGGGUAACGGCCUACCAAGUCUACGACGAUUAGCUGGUCUGAGAGGAUGGUCAGCCACACUGGGACUGAGACACUGCCCAGACUCCUACGGGAGGCUGCAGUCGAGAAUCUUGCACAAUGUACGAAAGUAUGAUGCAGCGACGCCGCGUGAAGGAUGAAUGGCCCUUGGGUCGUAAACUUCUUUUAUCGGGGAAGAAUAAAUGACGGUACCCGAUGAAUAAGCCGCGGCUAACUACGUGCCAGCAGCCGCGGUAAUACGUAGGUGGCGAGCGUUGUCCGGAUCUACUGGGCGUAAAGAGUAUGUACGCGGACAUCGAAGUAGACAGUGAGAGGUUGGAGCUCAACUCCACACUGCUUCUAUACUGGAUGUCUGAGUGCUGAGAGAAGCGAGCGACGCCUGACCGUGAAUGCGUGAUUGUGUCGACUCAUUGCGAGGCGCUAUGACGAGCGCAGGCUAAACUAGUGAAUCAAGCGAGGACACGGAUGAUACUGUAGUAGGCAAUCGGCCCUGCGCGUAUAUGAUCANUCGUC